rnacentral:piRNA from 1 species
UGUCAUAGGUGCCCGUGGCAAUCUUUUC